AAGGGAGGCAGUAGUCUUAGGAGAGUGCUAAUUUUUCUUAGCCGUGGUUAGAGUCCAUGGGUCCCUUG
rnacentral:tRNA from 1 species